ensembl:lncRNA
UGCGCACUGCGUUGUAAUAAUAAAAGACCGUAUCUCGUUGAAACUUAAAACUGUGUCCUCACAACUUUUUUGUCAUGGCUUAGAGUCAAGGUCAUGACAAAAUGGGGGCUCGUCUCGUUCUGAACCCGGCUGUUAAUGUGAGUAGAUACUGAUCUUUAGAGCAUUAAAAUCACGUAGUGAGUUCGCACGUUCCACUCAGCUGAUGCCUCGCGGUGGGAGGUAAAGAAAUUGUCUGUGUGGACGCAGUAGUUUUUUGUUUUCAGUAUUGUGGGAGAUUGGAAACAACAUUCUACUUCUGUAUUCGGCAACGGUAGGUGAGUAAGUGUUGACUGCUGCACUGAUACGAUAAGUAGCGAAGGUGUGUUCCUGUUGAGGGUAGUGGCGUUGUCCUUGGGAUUUCGCCUAUAAUGGUGGUAGUGUUGUGGUGAAGACGGUUCGGUUAGAGCAUUCGUGCGCUCCGUGGCUCAAGCGGAGUUACCAGAUAAUGGUCGCUCUUGUUUGGCUGUCGGGCUUGCGCUUAAUAACCCACCGUCAUUAGCUGCAUGAAGGGCUAGGUUUAGUUAGCUAGGUAGUUGGGCCUCAGAUAUUUAGAGGAACGCACCUUGCGCUACUGUUGUUGUUGGGAAGUUGUGCAGUUAGUCUCGCCUGCUUAUUGUUUGGCGUUGUGCGUGAAUAUUAAAAUGCCGUCCGUAGAGGAGUUUGCUGCUGCUCCAUCGCAUGAAGCUUUAGACCAAUGCUCUAAGGAUCAGUUGCUUAAAAUAGCUGAACAUUAUGAAUUGCAAAUUUCUAGCAGCUUUGCUAAAGAUAAGGUGAAGGCAAUUGUUAGGAGUAAUAUAGCUGAAUCUGGCAUUUUGCCUGGAGUCGAAAAAACGGCUACAUCCUCUUUUGCCUCUGUGUCCAUGGAGGGGUUAUCUUUUCAGCAGAGGAAAGAAUUGUUACGGUUGCAAAUUGACCACGAGAAGUUUAAGGUCAGUGCUGAACAUGAGAAAGCUGUAACUUUAGAGAAGAUUCGCCAGGAGACCGAACAAGUUAGGUUGGAAUUUGAGCAUAAACUCCAAAUGGAGCGGGAGGCUAAGGUGCAUGCGCGGCCACACUCGAGGCUUGAAAGUGGUUCAGACGUCUCGAGUUUUGACGUGCUCGGUAAUGUACGUUUGAUGCCUAAGUUUUCGCAAAGUGAUCCAGACUCAUUUUUUCUGUUGUUCGAUCGGGUGGCAGAGGCACGCGAGUGGCCAGAUUCUGUCCGCACACUAAUGUUAUCAUCUGUGUUGACCGGUAGGGCUCAGGAAGUUUAUUCUGCAAUGUCUUCUCCUGAGUGUGAGGAUUAUGUUAAAGUUAAAGAUACAAUUUUGAAGGCAUAUGAGCGUGUUCCUGAGUUUUACAGGCAAAGAUUUAGAACGUGGAAAAAGGGCUACAAGCAAACUCACCUCGAGUUUGUGCGUGAUUUAAAGUUGUUUUUUUCUCGUUGGUGUAGGCCUGCAGAGGUGGAUGACUAUGAUAGCUUACGUGAGCUCAUUGUGUUGGAGCAAUUUAAAAAUUCGGUUCCUGAGCGCGUAGCUACACAUAUUAGUGAACAGAAGGUUCGUAAGGUACUUGAAGCAGCUGCAAUUGCAGAUGAUUAUGUAUUAAUUCACCAGAACACUAACGCUGCGGAACGCCGAGGGCAACCUGCGCAUGGGAGUGGCACUGGUGUGCCUGCUGGGGGCUUCACUGGCCAGAGUAGAACAGUUCAGUCUGGUGCUGGCAAUUUUGGUGGGUUUCGUAGUGGAGAUAAAGUUUGCGAUGUGUGUCACAAGCGGGGUCAUUUAAGGGCUGAUUGUUAUUCACUGAAAUCUAGCAGAUAUCCAUUUGGUCCGGGUAUGCAAGCGAAGGGUGCAGGCUUGGCAGUACCUGGGCAGCACCACGAGCCUAAUGCAGUCCCCGUGGAUUCACAAGUAAAGUGUGCUGAUACAGCUGUGUUAGAUCCUUAUGCACCGUUUGUAAGAAUGGGGUAUGUAUCUAUGGUGGGCAGUGAUGUUGGGGUACCUGUUAAGAUCCUGAGAGAUACUGGGGCGUUUGACUCUUUUAUCCGAGGAGGUGUGUUGCCAUUGUCAAAGGAGACUGAGGUUGGCAGUUCUGUUCUUGUGCGGGGAAUGGGAAUGAGUGUUUUGCAUGUGCCAUUACACAGUCAUCCUGCAUUGCGAUUUGUUCCAGGGUGAAACUGUGCUAGCUGUUCGCCCAGCACUGCCAAUAAAAGGGGUCUCUGUGAUUCUCGGUAACAACAUUGCGGGUGCUCAGAUGUGGCCCGAUUGCUCUCCUGCCCUUCUUACAGAAUCAAGGCCAUGUUUGAUGUCAGGGCCUGAUGAAUGUGAGAGGGACUUUCCUGACACGUUUGCAGCCUGCGCUGUUACACGCGCCAUGGCGCAGGAGAAACCUGAACGUGCCACACCUGGUGAGUAGUGUUCCACUGAAGUUUUCAUUUCCUAUGUCUGACUUUCCUGUGUCUGUGCCCCGCAGUGAACUGGUCACAGAGCAGAACGCUGAUCGAUCAUUGGCCGGGUUGUAUGGCCAGGUACGUCCUCCUGGUGAAAUGGAGGACAGUGCAUGUGGUUACUUCCUUGAAGACUCCCUGCUGGUGCACCAGUUGCUGGGAUCUCAGGGAACGGUACAAUGAGCUAGUGGGGCGUGGCUGCAGCAGGCCAUUAGUGGAAAAGUGAUUACACCUGGGCCCGGCGUCUCCACGGGCUAUAACAUCCACCAGAGAGAGAGAAGGGGCUCGCGCACUGCGUUGUAAUAAUAAAAGACCG